GAUUCCACUGGAAGGCUAUUCCAGGUACCUCUCCCUGUGUCUACAAUAUGUGUGUGCUCUCCCAGUGUCUGUGUACAUAAUGUGUGCGCUCUCCUAGUGUCUGUGUACAUAAUGUGUGCGCUCUCCCAGUGUCUGUGUACAUAAUGUGUGCGCUCUCCCAGUGUCUGUGUACAUAAUGUGUGCGCUCUCCCAGUGUCUGUGUACAUAAUGUGUGCUCUCCCUGUGUCUGUGUAUAUAAUGUGUGCUCUCCCUGUGUCUGUGUAUAUAAUGUGUGCUCUCCCUGUGUCUGUGUAUAUAAUGUGUGCUCUCCCUGUGUCUGUUCAUAUAAUGAGUGCUCUCCCUGUGUCUGUUUAUAUAACGUGUGUCCUCUCCUUGUGUCUGUGUAUAAUAACAUAAUUGUGUCCUCUCCUUGUGUCUGUGUAUAAUAACAUAAUUGUGACGAACGCCACUUGGCCUGGUCAUUCACCACAGGCUCUUGGAGAAGUGUGAAAGCUAGCCUCCUGCGCACUGACUAUGGGCCAUGGGAAAGGCUUACAAACAGACUUCGUGGGAAUUAUAUAUACUGUUCUGGAACCGAACCAACUCACGAACUGUGGACCACCUUUGGGCUUGUUAAACCCUGGUAACCUCUCCUGACUCUUCAAUUAUCGUGAGUUCUAAUUGUGCGGCUGGGUGGCCGCCGUUCGUAUGCACGAACAUGUCUGCGGGAAUGCAGGCAGCGGUGUUUGGGCAUUGAUCGUAUGGAACUAAAAUCGUUUGAUGAGCGGUAUGUCCCUGGCCUACAUUCUUAUACAUUGGCUUGCUGGUGGCUUUCAUUAUCUUGUUAGAAAGCAAUGACACGAAACCAUGGGAUACACAGCAGCAAGCUGGAAGGUCGUCAAGGAGGUAAACGUUAUAAUGCCACCAUACAGCAUUACACAUCUGAGAAGGAACAAAUCUGGGGCUCAGCGUCUGGUAAACGAAACAUUAUAAUGGUGAGGACACGCACGUUACGGGAGUGACUGUGGUAUGAUCCUUUACCGACCUCAUAGGAGUUUAACACAGGGUUCAGAAAACUGCUAAGAG